UAACAGAGGAGUCCAGGCAGCUGCAGGGGGAAUCAGUUUAGCAGCUUUCUGUUGUCGACUCCACGACUUCCACAGUGAUGUCACACUCGGGUACAUCAGUGCUGUCCUACUCCAGCAGCCACGCGGCAGGGAGCCAUGGCCAGCAUGGUGCUGAGGCCAGCGGGAGACGGAGGAGGGAACGGCAUCUCUCCUGGGACUUCCCCUCUCUGGCUUUGCUGAACCCUGAGUGGACUCUCCUGGACCCCGAGUGGACUCUCUUGGACCCUGAGUGGACUCUUCCUGGCUCAUGCCUCAGAGCUCAUGGAUGCAGUCCCCAUGGGGAUCACAUGUUGCCCAUCCCUCAAGAGAAAUCUACUGUGCCGAAAAAAUCUCAGAUCUGUUCAUGA
rnacentral:lncRNA from 1 species